AAAUUUCAUACUCAUAUAGAAUUGUGCCGGUAUUCGGGAAUGCGAUAUAUCACGGUAAUGAAUAUGCACGGUAUUGUUAUCGUGGGCACUUCUAAAUACCGUGAAUAAU